AGUGCGCGGCCGGAGGAGGCGAGCGCUGGGGACGCAGCACCUGCCCCGCGCGGCCGAGAGGCGGCAGCCCCAGGUCCCCAGCGCGCGAAAUUAGUAAAGGGCGCCUGGCCCGAUUCUCAGGCAAGAGGAGAUUAUCAGCCGGAUUCCCGUGCGGGGACGUAGGGGUUGCGUUGUUCAGCGGCCAGGGAUGCGCCGAGGCGAUGUCUCCUCCCUUUACAACCCGAGUAUCGGGGCACGAGGAGGCGCGACCUUCCUGGGUACCCAAACCUCUGGCCUCCGGGAGACGCGGAAUUCGGGGGAUCGUUAAGGCGCCCUGGCCAGGGAAACAGAUGCUUCUGCGUCUGGGCUGAAAAUUGCUGAACCGGGGAAUGUGGGUGGGCGGGUGGCAUUGAACUUAGGCCAGAAGAGGGGGCUUUGGUAGGUUUUUACCUGCCUGUCCUUAGGCGGAGGACACUGGCUGGACAGGCUGCGUUACACACCUGAAGUCUCAUCCACGCAAAGUGCUUUCAGGUUGGAAUGUGGGGCGGGGGCGGGGGGAGGUCAGAGGGAACAGUUGCUGUAAAUUAGGUACAAGGAUCAAUUUGUGGUGUGUUGUGCGCGGGGGUGGGGCAUGUCGAAAGCCUUGUUAUUCGAAAGAAUGUGCUUUGAACGACGUUGCCACGGUCAUUCUACAUUAUGAAUCUACUGUUUCCUUGCAGAAGUGGCUCCCUUCGCCGCAACUCCACACCUCGGGGUAACCGUAGAGAUUGGCAGCAAUGCCCCAGCCCCUCACCAGCACUGUGCAAAGUGACUUUGACAGGCAGAGAAAAGCCAACCCAGUCGAAUUCGUCUGGAAAGCAUUCCAGCAACCCAGAGAGGAGCCUCUGUUUCUCUCUCUGGGAAAAAGCCCCAAGGGUUUUGCUGAACCCAGGUCUUCCUGCUCAUCUCUCAGCAGUUCAGAGCUACAUAAACAACUUCUGACCAUUUACGCAAUCAUGUAAACCUACCCUGACAUCUCCACUAUGUGGAAAAGAUGUUAACUGGAAAACUAUUUUUAAACUACUGCAGUAAGCAAAUAAACAUCCAACUCCAACAUAUAUAUGCAGCAGCCUUAUUAGUUCAUUCAGUGUUGGUUUGGUUUGUUUGUUUUGUCUUCUGCUUUUUAGAAUUAAUUAUUAUCUUUAUAAUUCCUGUUCGAGAAGUGGGCAAAACCAGGCUAGUGAUAGGUAUUGUUGUGGUCAAAUUUUUCAUCACUUGAAAUUCCAUGACUUUCAUGAUUGCUGAGAUUAAUGCUAAAUAAAGAAGUUACCCCCCCGCCCCCACCCCACCCCAACCUCCCCACCAAAGUUUCCUGAUUACUUAAACUUGGAGAGAAAUUUUCAGGCUUUUUCCUCCCUCCUUGCCUGGUAUGUGUCUGUAAUAGAGGUACUUUUGCAAAACUGGAAUGUUGGUGAUGCAGGUGUUUUCCAUGGUAAACAGCCACUGAGGAUCAAUGGUUCCCAGGUUCCCACUCACUUUGAAGGCUUUUGUGCUUCUGCCGGAACUGUGACUUUUACUACCUGUACUAUGUAUGAUUUUUUUUUACAUUGAUUAUUUCUCUGCAACUAGUCAAUUAAAAGUACAUAUAUAUAA
ensembl:lncRNA novel transcript